rnacentral:rRNA from 1 species
GCCAGACUCCUACGGGAGGCAGCAGUGAGGAAUAUUGGUCAAUGGGCGCGAGCCUGAACCAGCCAAGUCGCGUGAGUGAGGACGGCCCUACGGGUUGUAAACCUCUUUUGCCGGGGAGCAAGGGCGGGGACGUGUCCCGGCCCGGAGAGUGCCCGGAGAAAAAGCAUCGGCUAACUCCGUGCCAGCAGCCGCGGUAAUACGGAGGAUGCGAGCGUUAUCCGGAUUUAUUGGGUUUAAAGGGUGCGUAGGCGGGCUUUUAAGUCAGCGGUAAAAAUUCGGGGCUCAACCCCGUCCGGCCGUUGAAACUGGGGGCCUUGAGUGGGCGAGAAGAAGGCGGAAUGCGUGGUGUAGCGGUGAAAUGCAUAGAUAUCACGCAGAACCCCGAUUGCGAAGGCAGCCUUCCGGCGCCCUACUGACGCUGAGGCACGAAAGUGCGGGGAUCGAACAGGAUUAGAUACCCGGGUACU